rnacentral:rRNA from 1 species
GUGAGGAAUUUUCCGCAAUGGGCGAAAGCCUGACGGAGCAAUGCCGCGUGAAGGAUGAAGGCCUAUGGGUUGUAAACUUCUUUUCUCAGAAAAGAAUUAUGACGGUAUCUGAGGAAUAAGCAUCGGCUAACUCUGUGCCAGCAGCCGCGGUAAGACAGAGGAUGCAAGCGUUAUCCGGAAUGAUUGGGCGUAAAGCGUCUGUAGGUUGUUUAAAAAGUAUUCUGUCAAAGAUUAGGGCUUAACCAUAGAUAGGCAUGAUAAACUUUUAAGCUAGAGUUUGGUAGAGGCAGAGGGAAUUCCCGGUGGAGCGGUGAAAUGCGUAGAUAUCGGGAGGAACACCAAAGGCGAAGGCACUCUGCUGGGCCAAUACUAACACUGAGAGACGAAAGCGAGGGGAGCAAAUGGGAUUAGAAACCCGGGUAGUCC